rnacentral:rRNA from 1 species
UACGUAGGGGGCUAGCGUUGUCCGGAAUCAUUGGGCGUAAAGAGCGUGUAGGCGGUCCGGUAAGUCCGCUGUGAAAGUCGGGGGCUCAACCCUCGAAUGCCGGUGGAUACUGUCGGGCUAGAGUGCGGAAGAGGCGAGUGGAAUUCCUGGUGUAGCGGUGAAAUGCGCAGAUAUCAGGAGGAACACCGGUGGCGAAGGCGGCAUCCUGGACCAUGACUGACGCUGAGGAGCGAAAGCCAGGGGAGCAAACGGG